rnacentral:rRNA from 1 species
CAGGGAAUCUUGCGCAAUGGGCGAAAGCCUGACGCAGCGACACCGCGUGGGGGAAGAAUGCUUUAGGGUUGUAAACCCCUUUUCUCGGGGAAGAGAACGGACGGUACCCGAGGAAUAAGCUUCGGCUAACUACGUGCCAGCAGCCGCGGUAAUACGUAGGAAGCGAGCGUUGUCCGGAUUUACUGGGCGUAAAGGGCGAGUAGGCGGCUUGUUAAGUCUCAUGUGAAAUAUCCCGGCUCAACCGGGAGGGGUCAUGGGAAACUGGCAGGCUUGAGGUCAUCAGAGGAAAGCGGAAUUCCCGGAGUAGUGGUGAAAUGCGUAGAUACCGGGAGGAACACCAGAGGCGAAGGCGGCUUUCUGGGGUGCACCUGACGCUGAGGCGCGAAAGCAUGGGGAGCAAACCGG